GGGAAGCGCCUCGGGUGUGGAGCUGCAACUCCGGCGAGAAGUUGUGAGAAAAGUGCGAUCCGGAGACUCCUUCUCCAAACAAAAACAAACGACUAGGAGCCCCAAGCAUGGGUGCUUGUUCAAGAUCUUUUGGUGACUGUACUACCAAAGGAGAAAAGAGGCAGCAGCGUGUUUGGUGGGAGACUCAGCGGCUGUGGAAAAGCCUGUGAGCGGCUCUGGGCAGGAAUCCAACAAAUAAAUAAAACGUCUAAGACGGCGUGACAACGAUGUGUAUUUGGGAAGAAAGGAAAGAGCAAGGUGCAGCCGAUUAGCAAGUUAAUUAUUUCAGUACCCCAAGGGUUCCUGUGUGGUGGAGGCAGCCAUGGAGAGCCACCUUUCCGACUUCAGCAGCACAAGGAUGACACAAGACUCUGGUGCUGGCAUUUAGUUGUCCCCACACAGGUUGGCUGAUACCCCUGUUAGCAGAGAGGGGCCAGGGACCUUCUGAAAAGACAGUGCCAGCAACCACUUCAUUGCUGGUAGCAAAGGGUUUACAGACUGGGCAUGAGUCCAGUUGCUGUUCAAAUUGGACUUGGCCUCCUUGAUCUCAUAGCCCAGGAGGUCUGAGUAGAAGGAAAGGUAGUGAGAAAAAGAAAUUUCCAGGGAAGGAGGGCAUGCAGAGGGAAGAGUUCCCUGGGUCAGUCUUCCCCAAACAAAGCCCAUGGAUGAUAGCACCAGAUGUUGGGGAGCAGAGCAUGAGGGUUCCGUGUGAGAUCUGGGCCUGAAUCUUGGGAAAGUUUGGAGAGACCUAAAAGCGCCAUUUAUUCAUCUUCUCCGAAAAGUGAUUUCUUUUAAGCGCCCAGUGGCUGGGAAGCUUAUACAGAGCUCGUUUCUAGUUCCAGCGUCUUCUUGCUCGCGUCCCAGUUUGGCCUCAUAGAUGGAGACGUCGCUUUCACAGUUCCUUAGUUUUGCUUUGCCUUGGGUCAUUCACAAUGGAGCCAGCCUUCCUCCUGGAAGGUGAGCUUGCAGAUCUGUGCAGAUGAGCCAGCUUGUUCUCAUUUGGGUCCCUGCAAGGUUAUAGUUUCCCCUUAAAUAAGAGAAGCAGGCACCCAUUUUUAUUAAUCUUUUCAGCACCCAUUUUUAUUAAUCUCAUCUUCCUACUUCUGAGUGAGUUACUUUGUCAGUCAACCUGAGGGUCUGAGGAAGCUAUAAAAAUGCUUGCUUUGGUCUCUCUGUUUCACAUAUUCUGGGGUUUGGACCUGCCUCUGACCGACUGGAAAGAGCAGCCGCAUUCCAGAGCUCAGAGCCUGCAGUGUUAUCUCUUCUCUCACUCCAAAUCCUCACCUCCCUUUAUCUCCCUUUGCCACAUUUGCAGAGGCUUCCGAGGAGAGUGUAAAGGGAUAGGCUUUCACCGGGGCUGGGAAAGCAGAGGCAGGAAGAGGGUUCCAAAGAAGGAUAGAGAUAGUCGUGAUUUUCACAUGAUGCUCUUCUGGUAUACUUGUGUGCUGUGUGUUUAUUUCCUAUAAAUUUCAUGUUUGUUUCAGUCAUCAACAGUGUAUGUGUACAUUGUCCAAAUGCUUCUCGGCCAUAACAGUGUUAAAUAAAAUUGUAAGAAAUGCUA